rnacentral:rRNA from 1 species
AAAACAUCUUUUCUUGUAUUUAUUUGAAAUUUGACCUGCCCAAUGAUUGUAUUAAAUGGCCGCGGUAAUUUGACCGUGCAAAGGUAGCAUAAUCAUUAGUCUAUUAAUUGUAGACUUGUAUGAAUGGUUGGACGAAAUAUUAACUGUCUCAUUUAUAUUAUUAAAAUUUAAAUUUUAAGUUAAAAUGCUUAAAUUUAUUUAUUGGACGAGAAGACCCUAUAGAUCUUUAUUUCUUAAGUUUUUUAUUUAUUUGGCUUUUAUAUUUUAAAUAAUUUAAGUUGUUUUGUUGGGGUGACAUAAGGACCUAUAACUAACUCCUUAUAAUUGUAAACAUUUAUUUUUGAAUAAUUGACCUUUUAUUAUUGUAAUAAGAUUUAGAUACCUUAGGGAUAACAGCGUAAUUCCUUUUGAGAGUUCAUAUCGACAAAGGAGAUUGCGACCUCGAUGUUGGAUUAAGAUUAUAUUUAGGUGUAGAAGCUUGAAUAUUAGGUCUGUUCGACCUUUAAAUUCUUACA